rnacentral:rRNA from 1 species
UACGAAGGGGGCUAGCGUUGUUCGGAAUUACUGGGCGUAAAGGGCGCGUAGGCGGUGUGUCAAGUCAGGCGUGAAAGCCCCGGGCUCAACCUGGGAACCGCGCUUGAGACUGGCACGCUCGAGUUCGGGAGAGGAUGGUGGAAUUCCCAGUGUAGAGGUGAAAUUCGUAGAUAUUGGGAAGAACACCGAUGGCGAAGGGCAGCCAUCUGGACCGACACUGACGCUGAGGCGCGGAAAAGCGUGGGGGAGCAAACAGG